CUACUUAUUCAUUUGUAACAUUUUUGUCUUUUCUUAGCUGAUAAAUCUUAUCUCCAACAAGCUACAGUUCCUUUGACCCGUGAAACGCAUGGAGCUGAGGAAAUCGCGAUUUUUGUUCGUGGUCCUAUGUCUCAUAUAUUUCACGGUGUAAGGGAGCAAGUAUUUGUGCCACUUGCCUUGGCUUACUCAUCAUGCAUUGGUUCAAACAAGAAACACUGUCCAACAUCAAACACACCUAUGAUAACAAAAGACAAAAGAACUUUCCUCAUUUCUACCAUCCUUUUAAUUUUGUUUCUGUGGUGAUGGACUGAACAUUCUUGUAGUUGUUGUUGAAGAUUGGUGGCAACAAACAGAAGGAAAUAGUUUGCUUUGAAAAAAUACCUACAACAAAGUGCCGUUCCUCUGGCCGAUGAAACCCAUGGCGGGAAGGACGUCGUUGCUUACGCCCGAGGACCGAUGUCUCAUCUGAUCAGCGGAGUCAAAGAGCAAAACUACCUUGCUGUGGUCAUGGGAUAUUCUUCCUGCACAAGAAAGCACACUAAUUCCAACACUCAUUGUUCUGCGUCCCCUUCGUCUGUCACCAAAAGUCCAACACCACUUCUCUUUCUAUUGCCAAUACUGACAAUUGUUCAAAUUCUUUCAAAAUAAAAAAAAACAUUCGAUCCGUCUUCCUACCUAACACAUACACACACA